rnacentral:rRNA from 1 species
UACGUAGGGGGCAAGCGUUGGUCCGGAAUUCAUUGGGCGGUAAAGCGCGUGUAGGCGGUCCGAUAAGUCGGUUUGUGAAAGUCAAGGGCUCAACCCUUGAAUGCCGACCGAUACUGUCGGGCUAGAGUCCGGAAGAGGCGAGUGGAAUUCCUGGUGUAGCGGUGAAAUGCGCAGAUAUCAGGAGGAACACCAAUGGCGAAGGCAGCUCGCUGGGACGGUACUGACGCUGAGACGCGAAAGCGUGGGGAGCAACAGG